rnacentral:lncRNA from 1 species
UUUAGAAGUCGCUUCCCCCGUAACAGGCGUCUAAAUAAAAUAAAAAAUUAUUUUUUAUUAACUUUUUCGCUUAGUUUUGGCGUCUAUUUUGGGGAGCCAACGUAUAUGGGGAGUUAUAUACGUCGGUUAUGAAGGCCCUAACGUCUAUAAUAUUAUAGACGUCGAGUUCCCUCUUAACUGACGUCUAUAUUGACAACUCAUUUACGAAAGUGUCACUAGUCAUUAAUUUACGUCGAACCCCCGC